rnacentral:rRNA from 1 species
UACGGGGGGAGCAAGCGUUGUUCGGAUUUACUGGGCGUAAAGGGCGCGUAGGCGGCCAGUGCAAGUCAGUUGUGAAAUCUCCGAGCUUAACUCGGAAAGGUCAACCGAUACUGCUCGGCUAGAGUGCGGAAGGGGCAACUGGAAUUCUUGGUGUAGCGGUGAAAUGCGUAGAUAUCAAGAGGAACACCUGCGGCGAAGGCGGGUUGCUGGGCCGACACUGACGCUGAGGCGCGAAAGCUAGGGGAGCGAACGGG